UCUAGAUGCAUGCUCGAGCGGCCGCCAGUGUGAUGGAUAUCUGCAGAAUUCGCCCUUGGAUUAGGCAUGCAAGUCGAGCGAGGACAUGUUGAAUGGCAACAUUCGACGUGAACCGAGCGGCAGAAGGGUGAGUAAUGCAUAGAUAACCUACCCUCGAGUUCCGGACAACGGCGUCUUAUUUAUAAGGCUUUACCGAAAGGGCCGCUAAUACGGGAAAACCUCGCGGGGUCACCUGGCCCUGCGAGCAAAGAUGGGGAUCCUUCGGGACCUAUCGCUUGAGGAGGGGUUUAUGUCCUAUUAGCUUGUUGGUGAGGUAACGGCUCACCAAGGCUUUGAUGGGUAGCUGGUCUGAGAGGAUGGUCAGCCACACUGGGACUGAGACACUGCCCAGACACCUACGGGUGGCUGCAGUCGAGAAUCAUAGUCAAUGCGCGAAAGCGUGAACUUGCGACGCCGCGUGCGGGAUGAAGGCUUUCGGGUUGUAAACCGCUUUUAGGAUUUAGGAACCGCGAAGAGGCCAAUACCCUCUUCGUCUGACCAAGUCCAGAAAAAGUCACGGCUAACUCCGUGCCAGCAGCCGCGGUAAUACGGAGGUGGCAAGCGUUGCUCGGAAUCACUGGGCAUAAAGAGCACGUAGGCGGCAAGGCAAGUCGGGUGUGAAAUCCCCCAGCUUAACUGGGGAAUUGCGCUCGAUACUGCCUCGCUAGAGGACAGGAGGGGAGAGUGGAACUCUAGGUGGAGCGUGAAAUGCGUUGAUAUCUAGAGGAACGCCGGUGCGAAGCGACUCUCUGGCUGUCUGACGCUGAUGUGCGAAAGCUAGGUAGCGAACGGAAUAAGAAUACCCCGGUAGUCCCUA
rnacentral:rRNA from 1 species